rnacentral:rRNA from 1 species
GACGAACGCUGGCGGCGUGCUUAACACAUGCAAGUCGAACGGAAAGGCCCUGCUUUUGUGGGGUGCUCGAGUGGCGAACGGGUGAGUAACACGUGAGUAACCUGCCCUUGACUUUGGGAUAACUUCAGGAAACUGGGGCUAAUACCGGAUAGGAGCUCCUGCUGCAUGGUGGGGGUUGGAAAGUUUCGGCGGUUGGGGAUGGACCCGCGGCUUAUCAGCUUGUUGGUGGGGUAGUGGCUUACCAAGGCUUUGACGGGUAGCCGGCCUGAGAGGGUGACCGGCCACAUUGGGACUGAGAUACGGCCCAGACUCCUACGGGAGGCAGCAGUGGGGAAUAUUGCACAAUGGGCGGAAGCCUGAUGCAGCAACGCCGCGUGCGGGAUGACGGCCUUCGGGUUGUAAACCGCUUUCGCCUGUGACGAAGCGUGAGUGACGGUAAUGGGUAAAGAAGCACCGGCUAACUACGUGCCAGCAGCCGCGGUGAUACGUAGGGUGCGAGCGUUGUCCGGAUUUAUUGGGCGUAAAGGGCUCGUAGGUGGUUGAUCGCGUCGGAAGUGUAAUCUUGGGGCUUAACCCUGAGCGUGCUUUCGAUACGGGUUGACUUGAGGAAGGUAGGGGAGAAUGGAAUUCCUGGUGGAGCGGUGGAAUGCGCAGAUAUCAGGAGGAACACCAGUGGCGAAGGCGGUUCUCUGGGCCUUUCCUGACGCUGAGGAGCGAAAGCGUGGGGAGCGAACAGGCUUAGAUACCCUGGUAGUCCACGCUGUAAACGGUGGGUACUAGGUGUGGGGUCCAUUCCACGGGUUCCGUGCCGUAGCUAACGCUUUAAGUACCCCGCCUGGGGAGUACGGCCGCAAGGCUAAAACUCAAAGGAAUCGACGGGGCCCCGCACAAGCGGCGGAGCAUGCGGAUUAAUUCGAUGCAACGCGUAGAACCUUACCUGGGUUUGACAUGGAUCGGGAGUGCUCAGAGAUGGGUGUGCCUCUUUUGGGGUCGGUUCACAGGUGGUGCAUGGCUGUCGUCAGCUCGUGUCGUGAGAUGUUGGGUUAAGUCCCGCAACGAGCGCAACCCUUGUUCACUGUUGCCAGCACGUUAUGGUGGGGACUCAGUGGAGACCGCCGGGGUCAACUCGGAGGAAGGUGGGGAUGACGUCAAGUCAUCAUGCCCCUUAUGUCCAGGGCUUCACGCAUGCUACAAUGGCUGGUACAGAGAGUGGCGAGCCUGUGAGGGUGAGCGAAUCUCGGAAAGCCGGUCUCAGUUCGGAUUGGGGUCUGCAACUCGACCUCAUGAAGUCGGAGUCGCUAGUAAUCGCAGAUCAGCAACGCUGCGGUGAAUACGUUCCCGGGGCU